rnacentral:lncRNA from 1 species
AAUUGAGGAGGAGGCCAUGGUUCUUCAUGAGCCUAUUUAUUCUAAUUGAUUCUUUAUCCCAGGUCAGUCUUGCUGAAGACUUAAAACUUAGUGCUUUCUGAGAGGCAACCCAGUUUUUAAUUUUUGCUUUUACUUUUUUUUACAUUAUGUUCAGGUUAAUCAAAGCUUGCUUUGUACAGAUUUGAAGGCAAUAUUGGCUA